UGCAGUCGAGCGCACCUUCGGGUGAGCGGCGGACGGGUUAGUAACGCGUGGGAACAUACCCUUUGGUACGGAAUAGCCUCUGGAAACGGAGAGUAAUACCGUAUGAGCCCUUCGGGGGAAAGAUUUAUCGCCAAAGGAUUGGCCCGCGUUAGAUUAGGUAGUUGGUGGGGUAAUGGCCUACCAAGCCUACGAUCUAUAGCUGGUUUUAGAGGAUGAUCAGCAACACUGGGACUGAGACACGGCCCAGACUCCUACGGGAGGCAGCAGUGGGGAAUCUUGGACAAUGGGGGCAACCCUGAUCCAGCCAUGCCGCGUGAGUGAUGAAGGCCUUAGGGUCGUAAAGCUCUUUCGCCUGUGAAGAUAAUGACGGUAGCAGGUAAAGAAACCCCGGCUAACUCCGUGCCAGCAGCCGCGGUAAUACGGAGGGGGUUAGCGUUGUUCGGAAUUACUGGGCGUAAAGCGCACGUAGGCGGACUGGAAAGUUGGGGGUGAAAUCCCAGGGCUCAACCCUGGAACUGCCUCCAAAACUAUCAGUCUAGAGUUCGAGAGAGGUGAGUGGAAUUCCGAGUGUAGAGGUGAAAUUCGUAGAUAUUCGGAGGAACACCAGUGGCGAAGGCGGCUCACUGGCUCGAUACUGACGCUGAGGUGCGAAAGUGUGGGGAGCAAACAGGAUUAGAUACCCUGGUAGUCCACACCGUAAACGAUGAAUGCCAGUCGUCGGGUAGCAUGCUAUUCGGUGACACACCUAACGGAUUAAGCAUUCCGCCUGGGGAGUACGGUCGCAAGAUUAAAACUCAAGGAAUUGACGGGGGCCCGCACAAGCGGUGGAGCAUGUGGUUUA
rnacentral:rRNA from 1 species